UGGGGAAUUUUUGGACAAUGGGCGAAAGCCUGAUCCAGCAAUGCCGCGUGUGUGAAGAAGGCCUUCGGGUUGUAAAGCACUUUUGUCCGGAAAGAAAUCCUCUGGGUUAGUACCUCGGGGGGAUGACGGUCCGGAAGAAUAAGCACCGGCUAACUACGUGCCAGCAGCCGCGGUAAUACGUAGGGUGCAAGCGUUAAUCGGAAUUACUGGGCGUAAAGCGUGCGCAGGCGGUUUUGUAAGACGGAUGUGAAAUCCCCGGGCUUAACCUGGGAACUGCAUUCGUGACUGCAAGGCUAGAGUAUGGCAGAGGGGGGUAGAAUUCCACGUGUGAGCAGUGAAAUGCGUAGAGAUGGUGGAGGAAUACCGAUGGCGAGGCGAGCCCCCUGGGCCAAUACUGACGCUCAUGCACGAAAGCGUGGGGGA
rnacentral:rRNA from 1 species